rnacentral:misc_RNA from 1 species
AACUUUUAGCAAUGGAUCUCUUCGCGGAUCUCUUUGCGGGCCUCUUCGACGCCGAUGCCGUGGUUCGCAUGAGGGCGGCGGACGCCGUUGAGAAGAUCACGCGAGAACGUCCGGAGUUGCUUCGGCCCUGGAAGAGACUGUUAUUGGAACAGAUUUCUACUCUGGGCGAAAAGGAGGUGCGAUGGCAUAUCGCGCAAAUGAUCCCGCGGCUUAGCCUGACAUGCAGCGAAAAGGACACGGCUGUGCAGAUUCUGAUGGGCUAUCUGGCUGACAAAAGCAGCAUCGUCAAGACUUUCAGCAUGCAGGCGCUGGCGGACCUCGCCGAGCGCGACGCACGGCUACGGGCAGAAGUGCUGCCGCUGAUCGAGCGGCUUACGCAAACUGGCACCCCGGCCAUGCGAAGCCGCGGCCGCAAGCUACUUAAGCAUAUCAAUAAGCGGAGGCU